UCUACAGGUCGGCUGGGUCUUGAUAAGAUAGGCGAGCGUGACCCUCUGCUUCUCCUGUCCUGUCCUAUUCUGGAUUCCAGACCGCCUGACCCAGUAGCAAUGCAGGAAUUUGGAGGAGAGGAGAGGAAGGAUUUAUGGGAGAUAAAGGGCAGAGGAAGUCAAACAAGUGAGAGCUUAAUCUUCAGCCGAGACUCUUGAUGCUGACGGCUGGGCCAUCUGGGCCGAUCUUCCACACCCGAACACACCGACCCAAACACGCGCGGUCGUCUCUCCGACUCCUCGCCGCGACCGGGAAACAAACAACACAGCAUGAGCGAGAGGAAGACAGAUAGAGAGGAACAUAGCACGAGGAAGCGGAACGCGAGGCAGACUGAGGGUGAAUGUAAGGUCACCGACUCGGAGUCGUCGAAAGGUUGAAUCAAUCCGCAAACCAAGACUACGCCCCGGGUUACAUUUCAAGCUGGUGAUCAGCAAUGGUUCCAACAGACAAAGCCUGGAGGAGCCAAUUAAGUCCAGAAAUUGAUGCAGGUAGACAAGUCAUUUAAAUAAUGCAAUGACAUGAAAGGUUAUUCUGAGCUUGUCUCCAAAAAAACUGCUGAUGCAAACGCUGACACAUGUGCAACUUUGUGUUCUGCAGCUAUUAAGCAUGAAUAAUGAAUGUGCUAAGCAUGUUGCAAAGCCUCAAAUCUCUCUGUGUACAUUACAUUUCUGGAAAGUGUUCUGUAUUUUACAUAUUUGCAUCCAACCUCAAUAACAUCUUUUAUCAAUA